rnacentral:tRNA from 1 species
GGAAAGGUGGCAGAGUGGUCGAAUGCGCCAGACUCGAAAUCUGGUUUACGGUUCCGCCGUAACGUGGGUUCGAAUCCCACCCUUUCCUCCA